GAGAGCAAGAGAGGUACUAAUGUGCUGGAAUUUCCCUUUGGAUGGCAUGUGGCAACAUCAUGAUAGGACAUAGUCAAGAUGGGUAGUGUCCCUUGGUCAUAUGGACAAUCAAUAUUCAAAAUGGUAAAAGAACUGUGCCAGGGAGUCUAUGGCUUUCAACUGAAGUUCUCAAAUCUGGACCAUCCUUUCUUCCUCUGGCUAAGGUGUCACCUAUUGGAUUAAUUGCAUGGAAGAUGUCAUUUAUGUACCCAUAAGAUCACAGCCAUGAUCACUACUCACAACAUGAAUCAAGUGCUUAUAAUUUAUAGCUAUGUACGAAUUUAGGUAAUUUAUGAGAUUGGGUAAUUUUUGUUUUCCUCUGCAUUAGUUGAUCAACAGAAAUUCAGUGAUUAACAUCAAGAGAAUGGCCAUGUUUACUAUGUAAAAUGUAUGGCAAAAAAUUGGACACGAUGACAUUUUUUUUAUUUUUUGUCAUUGAAGUAUGCUAUUUUUUGAAAAAACAUCAAACUAUUUUAGUUGUUUUUUUUUUAGCAAUGUUAUAUGUUAUUAAUUUUUCAUUAUCUUUUUAUAUUACUAUUUAUAUGAAUCAUCAUAUGAUAUAUCUUAUUUAGUGAUAAUUAUUAAAAAAUCAGAGCAUAAACAAACUCCAGCUUCCAAAUCCGUAAAUACCUUCUAGAAGCAUAACAACCAAAGUGAACAAUUACUGAAAAAGCUCUAGCUCAACUAAGCCUUAUAGUAAGCCUUAGAGAAGUGAUCAAAUUUAGAAACCAAGUUCAAUGACAUGGUAGCAGAUAUAAUGGAUUAAAAUGACGAACUCACCAAAUUCUUUGGUUUUAUCUUAUCUGGUUUUGGUUUAGCUUUGGUUGGUGAUUGGCAUUACGAGAAAUUAGCUCCAAAUUCUCUGAUGUUGUUUCUCCCAAAAAACUUGAUGUCUGUUGCUCUUGUUUUUUGCUGCAUGGUGGUGAUGCUCAAGAACAAAAUUGCUUUUAGUGAUCAUUGUUUUUUCUCUCAUGUGUAUUGCUGACUUAAUAAUUUUUUUUAGAGUAUUUAUUCUAUUUUUCUCUUAUUUGAAAACUUGAUCCAGAUUUGAUUUGAUUCAGUCUCUGUUCAGUCUAGAAGGGAUGUAUUUACUUGGUUAUUUUUCUUAGAGUUGAUUUGACCUUAAUCAUCCUUCUUCUAUUUUUACUUCUCUAGCUUUAAUAUUGCACAACUUUCUCACAAGGGAAAAACAUGAUUCAGCUGAAAGUUGUACUUGUAAAAAACAAAAAUGAAAGUUGAAAAUAUUGUGAAAUGUAUGAUAGAUUUGAUUCUAAACGAGAAGCUUUGUUUCCUCUGUUUUUUGGUCAGAUCCAAUAGAGAAGAUAAAUCUCUAUGAAAAUAAUUAGAUCAUCUGCCACCUUGAUGGAAAGUUCUUAAUGUUUUUACCUUCCAAGAGCACAUCUGAAGAAAACAUGAUGAUGAAGAUGAAAAGUUUAUGUAAAUAUUGUACAAAAUAUAAUGUAUUUGGACCCUUGUAAUAUAUAGGAAUAGCCCCCCAUGUGCUUGUAUAUGUGGUGCAUUAACAGGUUGGAGGCUUCUCCUUUAUUUGCCAAUUUCUAUGCUGCUCCUAUUGUGCUGUCUGCUACUUUUGUGCUGGUGUUGCAUAGGUUUUCUGCGUACCAUCUUACUAACCAAUCAAUAUUAUCUACUUAUAUUUACUUUUUGUGUUAGGAUGAUUGCAGUUUUUAUUGUAUCUUUAUUCAUUAUUCUAUUUAUUUCAAAAUGGCAGGACAAUAUGAUAAAGUUCCAGGAUGCACAUUGCUCCGAACCUAUUGUGGUUCCAAUUACUCCAGAGGAGCUAUCUGUGAAGGUGCUCAAGUGAAGGUCGGGAUAUGUUAAAGGACUUGGUUUGAGGCCUUCGUCCUUGGUCAGGACUACCACUACUUCUACUGACUUUGACUAUGUAAGGCGUCUGGAGAUGGAAAUACAAGAGCAAAAGGAGGAAAUUCAGUCACAAAAAGAGGAAAUUACAGUAUAGAAACAAGAAUUCAAGCACAAAAUUAUGUGAUAGCAAAGAUGAAUGAGUUGAUUGAGGAGCAUUUGGAGAUAACGUCAAGUAUCAUGGAGUUUCUUAAGAAACAAGGUUUCAACGGACAAUUUAGGGGAAGGGGCAUCCCAUGAACUCGUAGAUCACCUUUUUGAUUGAUUUUUGAUGACAUUUGGAAGCAUACUUGCAAAUCAAGAUCAAGUGUUAAUUUUUUUUUUUUAUGGAUUGAUACUUAGUUUUACUUGCAACUCAAGAUCAAGUGUUGAUUUUAUUUUUGUGGAUUGAUACUUAGUUCAUUUUGGGAUUUGCUGUGAUCUUCUUUGUUAUAGUUAAUGAAUUGUAAUUAAAUUUGUUUGAUGGAUAUAUUUUGAUUUAUAAUAUAAAUUGUUUAGCAAA